UACGGGGGGGGGCAAGCGUUGUUCGGAAUUAUUGGGCGUAAAGGGCUCGUAGGCGGUUUGUCGCGUCGGGAGUGAAAACACCGGGCUUAACUCGGUGCUUGCUUUCGAUACGGGCAGACUAGAGGUAUGCAGGGGAGAACGGAAUUCCUGGUGUAGCGGUGAAAUGCGCAGAUAUCAGGAGGAACACCAAUGGCGAAGGCAGCUCUCUGGUACAUGACUGACACUGAGACGCGAAAGCGUGGGGAGCGAACAGG
rnacentral:rRNA from 1 species